GAGACAGCCCUGGGGAAUGAAAUUGUUUGUUUAUCCACAGAACACGUACAACAUGGGCAGCAGCAGUGGAGUCUUUCCCAUGAUGUUUCGCUGCUUUCUGUAGCCUUGCACUACAGUGACAAUCUACAGAGGUGCAAAGGCAGCUCACAUCCCAGCUCCAGGUAUUUUCCUGGGAAUA
rnacentral:sRNA from 7 species